CACAUGCAAGUCGAGGGGUAGAGUUCUUCGGAACUUGAGACCGGCGCACGGGUGCGUAACGCGUAUGCAAUCUGCCUUUUACAGAGGGAUAGCCCAGAGAAAUUUGGAUUAAUACCUCAUAGUAUUAUGAAAUGGCAUCAUUUUAUAAUUAAAGUCACAACGGUAAAAGAUGAGCAUGCGUCCCAUUAGCUAGUUGGUAAGGUAACGGCUUACCAAGGCUACGAUGGGUAGGGGUCCUGAGAGGGAGAUCCCCCACACUGGUACUGAGACACGGACCAGACUCCUACGGGAGGCAGCAGUGAGGAAUAUUGGACAAUGGGCGCAAGCCUGAUCCAGCCAUGCCGCGUGCAGGAUGACGGUCCUAUGGAUUGUAAACUGCUUUUAUACGAGAAGAAACACUGCUUCGUGAAGCAGCUUGACGGUAUUGUAAGAAUAAGGAUCGGCUAACUCCGUGCCAGCAGCCGCGGUAAUACGGAGGAUCCAAGCGUUAUCCGGAAUCAUUGGGUUUAAAGGGUCCGUAGGCGGUUUAAUAAGUCAGUGGUGAAAGCCCAUCGCUCAACGGUGGAACGGCCAUUGAUACUGUUAAACUUGAAUUAUUAGGAAGUAACUAGAAUAUGUAGUGUAGCGGUGAAAUGCUUAGAGAUUACAUGGAAUACCAAUUGCGAAGGCAGGUUACUACUAAUGGAUUGACGCUGAUGGACGAAAGCGUGGGUAGCGAACAG
rnacentral:rRNA from 1 species